rnacentral:lncRNA from 1 species
CUUCUUGAGUAUGCUUAAACAAAGUUUUUUAUUUUAAAUAUUUUAUAGAUAGCAUAUACUAUCUUAUCAUUGAUCCAUAAUCAAAUUCCAACAAGACAUAGAUUAAGUUGAAAAUAAUUCAUGAUUGAUCUAUGUACUAUAUUGUUCUGCAAGCAAUGCAAUAUGAUGAUUACCUUGUGUACCAUAUUGUUCUGCAAAAAUGUCUAUAAGUAGAAAAGAAUCUUAACAAGGCAUGAUAUUAGGUGAUGACAAGGAAUGGAUGUUGACCUAUCAACAAAGGAAGAAAAUACCAAACAAAUCCAUCUCAUAGCUAGGAUUAAA